CAGAGCCCGCCAGCCGCUGAGCCGGGGCCACACCUGGGGGUGACUUCAUGCCUCACCUCCAGUAGGCUCCUGGCCUCUCUAGGCUGAUCUCUGGCUCCCGCGCACUAACUCUUGCUCUCGCCCAGCUACUCCCCGCCUCGCCCUGGCUGCCCAGGGCUGCCCACUAACAGCCAAGCUCGCCCACUGGGGGCUCUGGGCUCCCUGCCUGGCUCGGGCCGGCUCUUAAUUAACUUCCCUUCCCCCUGACUAACUCCUGCCUUCCGGUCUGUUCCUUUCAGCGGAAACUAAUGGCUUGUGGACUUCUUUCUGACUAACAGCAGGUGUAACAGUCCUGGUUACCACGACUAUUAACAGCUUGGUGGGCAGCAUGGCUGGG
ensembl:misc_RNA